rnacentral:rRNA from 1 species
GUGGGGAAUCUUGCGCAAUGGGCGAAAGCCUGACGCAGCCAUGCCGCGUGAAUGAUGACGGUCUUAGGAUUGUAAAAUUCUUUCACCGGGGACGAUAAUGACGGUACCCGGAGAAGAAGCUCCGGCUAACUUCGUGCCAGCAGCCGCGGUAAUACGAAGGGGGCUAGCGUUGCUCGGAAUUACUGGGCGUAAAGGGCGCGUAGGCGGACAGCUUAGUCAGAGGUGAAAGCCCAGGGCUCAACCUUGGAAUUGCCUUUGAUACUGGCUGUCUUGAGUUUGGGAGAGGUGAGUGGAACUCCGAGUGUAGAGGUGAAAUUCGUAGAUAUUCGGAAGAACACCAGUGGCGAAGGCGACUCACUGGCCCAAUACUGACGCUGAGGCGCGAAAGCGUGGGGAGCAAACAGGAUUAGAUACCCCAGUAGUCC